AGUUUUGCCACGUGUCAUCUUCUGCACCUAGAAUAACACAAGAAUUGUAGGAUAAGGAAUAACAGAGGAUCUGGAUCCUUUCCGAAGCCCUUAAUCAAUCUGAAGACCCUAGCCUAACCCUUAACCAAAUCUUUGGGAAAUUCAAAGGGAGGGAUACUUUUGUUGAUCGUGACCUUGAUCGGGAUGAGACAUCAAUCCAUGAAUAGGCUUGUGUUGGUGAGUGGUCGCAAGGGAUGAGAAUGCAGGAGAAUCCGAUCGAGAUCGGUUUGCUCUUGAGAGAAGAUAUUGGAAGAGACCGUUUGUUCCGAGUUACUGUUUCUCCUGUGUGCGCUUUUGUUUUCUAUGAUAGCUAGCAUUUGUUUGAUUUGUAUAGGCCUCUUUUGCGGUUUUAUCACGUCCUACUACAUCAUCUCUGUUGUGAAUACUUUCUUUUCCUUAUAUUUACUUGCUAUCUACUUUAUAAGUUUCUUAUCAUAAGUGUUUUAAAUUAUUCCUGUGGAAUCAUGCAUGUGAUGUGUUGGAAUGUUAGAGGUCUUCACUCUAACACCACUAACGGAUGCUUAAAUAAACAGCUGAAGACCAAAGAUCCAGAUAUUGUUUUUCUAUGCGAAACGAAAAUCUCAAACCAUUUAGAAUUCAAACCCUACUGUCAGUCCAAGUAUUACGACUCCUCCGAUUUCAUCAACAACUAGGGAAGUACAGGAAAAAAAGGGGGGAAUAUAGUUAUUA